CGAUGAUCCCAGCUUGCUGGGGGAUUAGUGGCGAACGGGUGAGUAACACGUGAGUAACCUGCCCUUGACUCUGGGAUAAGCCUGGGAAACUGGGUCUAAUACCGGAUACGACCAUCUGGCGCAUGUCAUGGUGGUGGAAAGCUUUUGUGGUUUUGGAUGGACUCGCGGCCUAUCAGCUUGUUGGUGGGGUAAUGGCCUACCAAGGCGACGACGGGUAGCCGGCCUGAGAGGGUGACCGGCCACACUGGGACUGAGACACGGCCCAGACUCCUACGGGAGGCAGCAGUGGGGAAUAUUGCACAAUGGGCGCAAGCCUGAUGCAGCGACGCCGCGUGAGGGAUGACGGCCUUCGGGUUGUAAACCUCUUUCAGUAGGGAAGAAGCGAAAGUGACGGUACCUGCAGAAGAAGCGCCGGCUAACUACGUGCCAGCAGCCGCGGUAAUACGUAGGGCGCAAGCGUUAUCCGGAAUUAUUGGGCGUAAAGAGCUCGUAGGCGGUUUGUCGCGUCUGCUGUGAAAGACCGGGGCUCAACUCCGGUUCUGCAGUGGGUACGGGCAGACUAGAGUGCAGUAGGGGAGACUGGAAUUCCUGGUGUAGCGGUGAAAUGCGCAGAUAUCAGGAGGAACACCGAUGGCGAAGGCAGGUCUCUGGGCUGUAACUGACGCUGAGGAGCGAAAGCAUGGGGAGCGAACAGGAUUAGAUACCCUGGUAGUCCAUGCCGUAAACGUUGGGCACUAGGUGUGGGGGACA
rnacentral:rRNA from 1 species